rnacentral:lncRNA from 1 species
GGUUGAUUGUGGGAACAAAUUCUUCAGGAAUGAGAUAUGUAGUAGCCCUCUUACCAAGCAAUGCAUUGAAGGGUAAUAAUCUAACUGCGAUUCACACUUUAUGAUGCAGAUAAUGUUUGCUGACUUUAUUUCUAAACAAGCUAGUAUAAACUAAAUUACAACUAAAAUGUGAAUUAUUUGAUGGUUUUUGUCAACUGAGCAAGUAUUUUAUUUCAGUCAAGUAGGAAAAGGGGGCUAAGAGAAUGACUUAAUUUGUCUCAAAUGAGCACUUUAUUACAAAGAGUGUUACUGUUCUAUGUAAUACAUUGCCAGAAAGUUUCAUAUUCUUUAUUGUAUUUGGAUGAGAUCUUUUCUAGCUAAGUGGCCAUAAGAAUUUUUCUUUGUUUCCUCUGUAGCGCAGGCUGUAGUGCAGUGGCACGAUCUUGGCUCACUGCAACCUCCACCUCCCAGGCUCAAGCAAUCCUCCCACUGCAGCCUCCGAGUAGCUGGGACUACAGGCAUGUGCCACCAUGCUGGGCUAAUGUUCGUAUUUUUUGUAAAGAUGGGGUUUCACCAUAUUGCCCAGGCUGGUUUCGAACUCUUUGAGAUCAAGUGAUCUGCCUGCCUCAGCCUCCCAAAGUGCUGGAAUUACAGCACCUGAGUGGAUUCCCUGAGCUGUCAGCCUCUGGCUUCUCCUCAAAGGAAAAUCGCUUGAACCUGGGAGGCGAAGGUUGCAAUGAGCCGAGAUUGCGCCACUGCACUCCAGCCUGGGCAACAAGAGUGAAACUCCGUCUCAAAAAUGAAAAUAAAAUAAAUAAAAAUGAAACAGCCUUUUAAGAAUGCAAUUAUUAGGCAACGUCUUCAAAAGCCAUGAAAAUGUUCAUAUGCUUUGAUGCACAAAUUGCUUCUAGAAGUUCAUCUUAGGAAAUAUCCUGCUUUACUUGUAGUUUGGUAAAGUUUGGUUUAUUGCAUCCAGGCCACUUGGACAAAUGAAUUUUGUGGUAUAUGUCACAAACUAUGCUGUAGAACUGCAUUUUAUACUGUCUUAGAGACCUCUCUUUGUUCACAGAAGUUUAGAGAAUAAGUAUUUGUGGAAUGGAGAAGAAAGAAGUUCAAUUAGGGUAAAAUCACAUCUUAUCAAUGUUCUAUAGCAAUGUCAGUUACCAUUUAAUGAGUAUCGAUAAUGAUAGUGAAAUAAACGAUAUGUACUUAAAGGGCAAAACAAGAUAAAUUUUAAAGCUCGUAUUUCAAUAUCUUCAUGACAUUGAGAAAGUUUAAGGACCAGAUUUUGAAGCUCUAGAUAUCAGAAACUGGUAUCUGGGUGUAUUGGGGCAAUUCACAGGAUGUGUGGAGGAGUGGGUAUGUACCUGCCCCGUGGCUGUGUUUCUAAAUGAACUAAAAAAGAAAAAAAAAUCCCCUUUUAAAUACCCAGAAGCACUAACCCACAUUUUGAACUAAUUGACUUACUUUUUCUUAGGAAAGCUUAAUUUAACUGAUAGGGGCACAUGGGUUUAUCUGAAUAUUUAAAGAAGCCCUGGGAUGGGUUUGUUCUAUUUCUUUAAUUUGAUGCUGG